AGAAGGUCGAAGAACGUCCCUGAAGAAAAGGGCAACAUGGUAAAUUUGACUAUAUUUUGGCACGAUUUCCGUCAGUUGGAGCAAUGUGAAUUAUUUCUUGAUCGAAAUAAAUACAAGAUGUAAAUCCUUGGGCCUUAUUUAUGCGGUUAUGGCGUCUGGGUAUGCCUCAUUCACGGCAUUAUAUAACUUUAAACCAGAGCAGUUGGAUGAGAUAGAGUUGAGAGUUGGCGAUGUUGUGCUGGUUAAAAAACCAUUUAAUAUUGAAGAAUGGAUAGAAGGGGAAAAUCAAAGAACUAAACAACGUGGACAGAUUCCUGGCAACUUUUUAAAAGAGCUAGUAGGUAUGGUAGCCUGUAAUUUGAAUACCUAUUAAGCAUUUGAAUAAUGGUUUCAUCCUUCCGUGUUUGCAUAGAUGAAAGUGCAGUUGUACUAUCAUUAUCAUGUUUAUAUCAGGGUUUCAGUAUAAACUUAGUUUAUGCAAUAUCAGUUGGUCAUGGGCCGAUAUGUG